rnacentral:lncRNA from 1 species
GAAAAUUAUCUCUGCUCUGAUAGCCAAAUUUAUCCAGCUUCUCACAGUUCAGGACAUAGCUUCUAAAAAAUACAUGGCAUUUCCUAACAAGUAUAAACCUUCCAGCUGUCAACCAGGACAAAUAGUUCUUAGGGUUAAGUGAGUUAUUUUCCAAGUUGUCUAGUACUAACUUCAAAGUCAAUAGUAUUAUUUGUGAUAGAAUAAAAACAGAACUACUGAGAAACUUCUCUGAAGCUGCCACUGAGAGUGAUAGAUUCUCCAGAACUCCCCGACUGAUAUUUGAACUGACAACAAAUCCAGUAGGAGAAAAGUGGGUCAUAUACGAAUGAAGAAGGCAAUUGGGUUCUAAGUGCUAUUUCUCUUUAAGAAGAGUUUCUUCAGUCAUCGAUCAUGAAAGUGACCUUGCUGCUCAAAGCUAACUGGGUCCUUAAUUGCUUGAUUUCAGAAAGCAGGGAGAACACUGUGAAGUUAACUUGGGAAAGUUUCUGGAGAUAUUAAUUUUCAAGUUAACAAAAUGCAGCUUUGAUUGUUGUCUCUAUAGAAGUAAUGGAUAACGCUUAAGGAAAAUAAGAGAUCCUCAAUGGACUAAAAAUAAAGAGAAGAGGACCGAAAAGGGAGGAUUUGUG